AAUCUCAGCACAAUCAUUAGGAAGCCAAGUUGAAGAACAGAAGGUAGCAUUUCCAUAAUGCUAUUUUUACAGGUGAGUAAUAUUUCAAUUGUCUGCAAAGUUGGGCUAGAAAUGAAGAAUCAAAAGAACAGAACAAUAAGGAAAAGCACAGAGUAAAUCAGAAAAAGGGUGUGGUUGGAGGAGAAAAAGGGAAAAACCCAUGUCAUAAAGAGAAUUAACAGAGUGAGAGAGUGGCCCACCCAGGAGGCCGGAGAAGACAAAAGAAGCAAAAUGCAGCCUGGUAGAAAGCCCACCGGGAUGUCACAGUGUGGUUCCCAGGGAGUCUUAAGCAUAAAUUCUCAUGAAUGUUGUUAAUCUAGAGGAGGUUUUACAAUUUACAUGGUUGUGCUUUUAAUGUUUUACUUUUUAAAAAAACAGGGGAAAAAAACACAGUGGUUUUAGCUUUCAGUAUGAAAAAACUAGUCCUAAUUAACAUUUGGAGUCCGAUUUUCAGAGAUUCCAACUGGAGGAUCUAAAGUAGAGCCCUGAACCGAACGGGAUUCUGGACAAGCCUAAAGACAUACCCAGAUUUCCAGGCCAGUGCAGAGACUGCACAAAACUGGCAGUGAAAUUCACAAACAAAUCUCGGGGGGAUUGGACUCGGCAGCCAGUGAGCCUGGAAGACAGUUCCAACAUACUAAAGAACUUGGCAAGAAUGUCAAAAGCUUAAAGAUCCCAAUUCUUUUUAUUUUUCAC